rnacentral:lncRNA from 1 species
GUCUGUGAUGCUACAAGGAAUCAUUUCAGAGAAUUACAAGGAUUCUUGUUGGCAUUGCCACUGUCCCAAGCUUUAAGUCUCAAGAACACAGUUCUGCGAAAGUGGGGACUGCUUGUGCUCCCCUACGUGGCUGGGGAAAGCUGCAGACCUCUGGAGAAGGCAACAGCAUCCAGCAGAAUUUGUGAGAGCAUCUCCCACCCGUAAGAGGUGUGAGGUAGCUCAUGCCAGUGGAGGGUACAGCUGAAGCAGAUUCAUGUCCUCGGAGGACAGUGAAGCAGGCAGUAGAUUCCUGAUCCCGGAACAUUCACUAGGAGGGUGUAGACUCCUGUUAUGUAACCAGAAUUCUGCAAGGACUCUGGAGAACACAGAAGCCAUGCAAGGCAUAGUCUUGACUAUUUGGCUUCAAUUGCACCCAGAAGGAACCAUAGAAUAGAAUGUGACUGAGGCAUCUCUCUCGGCUGCUCCUAUUUCUUUUUAGCAAUGUCCCUUGUGAUAUUCAUUUAUUUUAAUGUGAG